GUGAGUAGAAUAAAGAUUUAAAAUUUCUCCGCUCCCGGCCGGGUGGUGGGCCCAUAUCCUGCGUAGCCUCUAGGAAGCGCUAGACCCAUAUAAAGAAAGUGGAGUUAUGCACUCCAGAAAUUAUGCAAAUCAUCCAGUGGCACAAAAUUCCUAUCAGAACCGCUUUUACUGCCUCCCCCGGCGACGUUCCCGGCCCGCCAACGUUUCUUUCGUCCUUACAAGGCCAGCUUCCACCCGCUGCUUUUGUGUAAAUAAAGCCUGGCCUUCUGCCUGCAGGUUGCCGCCAGAAGCCGGCCGGUGGGGGAAGGGUUCGGAACCGGUACGACCGCCUCAGCCGCGCCGGGAGAGGCCGAGAGUCCGCCACGCUCAGCCGUCGCGCGGGGGCGGUACUCCGGGCCCCCCAGGAUGAGCCGAGCCGAGAAACCCAGCACGAGAAAGUCCCCACCCACCUGCACCCUCUUCCGUGGGUCACCCCGCGCGUGGCAGGCCCUUGACAAAUAUCGUCCUGAAUUCUCCCCGCGAUCCUGGGAGUAUCCUCCCCAUUUUAUAGACGAGAGACUGAGGCUUACCAAGUGUAAGGGGCUUGACCGAGGUCCCAUAGGCGAAAAAAGUGGCAAACCAAGAACUUCUAACCGAAUAUAUCUGGCUGCAAAAUCCAGUCUUCUCCCAUCCCGCCGGUCACCAGUGAGACUGUAAAGGUCUUAAAGGAGAAGAAUAAAAAAAAAAAUAACCACACGAAUCAGAUUAACAGAUCGUAAGGAAUUGAAAGGGCCUUCCAGAGCUGCUGGUAUUUCAAACAAGUGGACUCGAACCACAGGAUAAGUAACAAACUACUUUUCCUGGGUGACCAAUCAUACUUUUUUUUUAAUUAAAAAUAUAUUUAUUAAAAUAGAUUACGAUGGAGAAGAAUAUAAUUUUCAAAAUAAUGAUAGCUGAAAACAGAAGACUUAAAAGAAAUGUCAGGCUGUUUCCACCUCGCACACCUUUCGUUCGAUUGCACACACAUUCUUGACAUCAAGUACAUAAACAGGCAAACUGAGGCCCGAAACCAGUCCCACUGAGAGCGAGAGGCCGAGUGGGAGGAGAACCGAGAUUUCCGGGCUCUCGGCCUGGGGUGCUUUCGGCUGGGGGCGGGGGUCCUGUUUGUAAACAGGUGUCCUCGGACAGCCACUGCCGAUUUUUGUCACUCUGCCAACCGGAGGGACGAUUCUGAGUAAUCGCUAGCAGUCAGCGCAGCUGGGGCUAAAAGCGAAAGGGACGCGCGCGCGACGGGCCCGGGAGGGCGACGGGUAAAGCGCGCAGGCGGGGCCGCCGCCGGGUUCCCGCGGGGCGACCGUGCGGUAGGCCUCCUCCCGGACCGCUCUCGACGGCCCCGCCCCGCGCAGGCGGCGGGCGCUGCAGGCCCCGCCCCUGCUCCCAGCCCAGGGGACCCAUCCCGGACCUGAGAAUCCCGGUCCCAAACCCCUCCUCCCAAAAGGGGCUAAAAGGUGCAGGGGGCUUUUGACCAGCCCGUCCAGCUUCAGGUCCUGGGACCGGCGGCCCUGUCCUUGCGCGUGGGAACAGUCAGGAACUAAAUGAAUUCUGGCUGGACUGUGCAUCAUUGAUAUUCUUGCAUUGUGGAUUCUUUAUCGUCUGAGGCACCAGGGAAGCAUAUGCUGAGCACCAAAGAAUUGAUGCCUUUGAACUGUGGUGUUGGAGAAGACUCUUGAGAGUCCCUUGGACUGCAAGGAGAUCCAACCAGUCCAUUCUGAAGGAGAUCAGCCCUGGGAUUUCUUUGGAAGGAAUGAUGCUAAAGCUGAAACUCCAGUACUUUGGCCACCUCAUGCGAAGGGUUGACUCAUUGGGAAAG
ensembl:lncRNA